rnacentral:rRNA from 1 species
UGACCGCUGGCGGCGUGCCUAAUACAUGCACGUCGAGCGAACAGACGCGGAGCUUGCUCCUCUGACGUUAGCGGCGGACGGGUGAGUAACACGUGGAUAACCUACCUAUAAGACUGGGAUAACUUCGGGAAACCGGAGCUAAUACCGGAUAAUAUAUUGAACCGCAUGGUUCAAUAGUGAAAGACGGUUUUGCUGUCACUUAUAGAUGGAUCCGCGCCGCAUUAGCUAGUUGGUAAGGUAACGGCUUACCAAGGCAACGAUGCGUAGCCGACCUGAGAGGGUGAUCGGCCACACUGGAACUGAGACACGGUCCAGACUCCUACGGGAGGCAGCAGUAGGGAAUCUUCCGCAAUGGGCGAAAGCCUGACGGAGCAACGCCGCGUGAGUGAUGAAGGUCUUCGGAUCGUAAAACUCUGUUAUUAGGGAAGAACAAAUGUGUAAGUAACUAUGCACGUCUUGACGGUACCUAAUCAGAAAGCCACGGCUAACUACGUG